rnacentral:rRNA from 1 species
CAGCCGCCACGGUAAUACGGAGGGAGCUAGCGUUGUUCGGAAUUACUGGGCGUAAAGCGCACGUAGGCGGUUGUUCAAGUCAGAGGUGAAAGCCCGGGGCUCAACCCCGGAACUGCCUUUGAAACUAGAUGACUGGAAUCUUGGAGAGGUCAGUGGAAUUCCGAGUGUAGAGGUGAAACUCGUAGAUAUUCGGAAGAACACCAGUGGCGAAGGCGACUGACUGGACAAGUAUUGACGCUGAGGUGCGAAAGCGUGGGGAGCAAACAGGAUUAGAUACCCCUGUAGUCCCUGUCUCUUAUAC